rfam:Acyrthosiphon pisum strain LSR1 Contig33686, whole genome shotgun sequence.
GUUCUUACAAUGUUCGGUAAAGUGUCUGUUAAGUUUAACCGGAUAUUGUAAGAACGG